rnacentral:rRNA from 1 species
GACGAACGCUGGCGGCGUGCUUAACACAUGCAAGUCGAACGGAAAGGCCCUGCUUUUGUGGGGUGCUCGAGUGGCGAACGGGUGAGUAACACGUGAGUAACCUGCCCUUGACUUUGGGAUAACUUCAGGAAACUGGGGCUAAUACCGGAUAGGAGCUCCUGCUGCAUGGUGGGGGUUGGAAAGUUUCGGCGGUUGGGGAUGGACUCGCGGCUUAUCAGCUUGUUGGUGGGGUAGUGGCUUACCAAGGCUUUGACGGGUAGCCGGCCUGAGAGGGUGACCGGCCACAUUGGAACUGAGAUACGGCCCAGACUCCUACGGGAGGCAGCAGUGGGGAAUAUUGCACAAUGGGCGGAAGCCUGAUGCAGCAACGCCGCGUGCGGGAUGACGGCCUUCGGGUUGUAAACCGCUUUCGCCUGUGACGAAGCGUGAGUGACGGUAAUGGGUAAAGAAGCACCGGCUAACUACGUGCCAGCAGCCGCGGUGAUACGUAGGGUGCGAGCGUUGUCCGGAUUUAUUGGGCGUAAAGGGCUCGUAGGUGGUUGAUCGCGUCGGAAGUGUAAUCUUGGGGCUUAACCCUGAGCGUGCUUUCGAUACGGGUUGACUUGAGGAAGGUAGGGGAGAAUGGAAUUCCUGGUGGAGCGGUGGAAUGCGCAGAUAUCAGGAGGAACACCAGUGGCGAAGGCGGUUCUCUGGGCCUUUCCUGACGCUGAGGAGCGAAAGCGUGGGGAGCGAACAGGCUUAGAUACCCUGGUAGUCCACGCUGUAAACGGUGGGUACUAGGUGUGGGGUCCAUUCCACGGGUUCCGUGCCGUAGCUAACGCUUUAAGUACCCCGCCUGGGGAGUACGGCCGCAAGGCUAAAACUCAAAGGAAUUGACGGGGCCCCGCACAAGCGGCGGAGCAUGCGGAUUAAUUCGAUGCAACGCGUAGAACCUUACCUGGGUUUGACAUGGAUCGGGAGUGCUCAGAGAUGGGUGUGCCUCUUUUGGGGUCGGUUCACAGGUGGUGCAUGGCUGUCGUCAGCUCGUGUCGUGAGAUGUUGGGUUAAGUCCCGCAACGAGCGCAACCCUUGUUCACUGUUGCCAGCACGUUAUGGUGGGGACUCAGUGGAGACCGCCGGGGUCAACUCGGAGGAGGGUGGGGAUGACGUCAAGUCGUCAUGCCCCUUAUGUCCAGGGCUUCACGCAUGCUACAAUGGCUGGUACAGAGAGUGGCGAGCCUGUGAGGGUGAGCGAAUCUCGGAAAGCCGGUCUCAGUUCGGAUUGGGGUCUGCAACUCGACCUCAUGAAGUCGGAGUCGCUAGUAAUCGCAGAUCAGCAACGCUGCGGUGAAUACGUUCCCGGG